UACGGAGGGAGCAAACGUUGUCCGGAAUCAUUGGGCGUAAAGGGUACGAAGGUUGGAUCUUAAGUCAGUUGUUAAAGGUUACGGCUUAACCGUAAUUUGCAAUUGAAACUGGGAUUCUUGAGUUCGAGAGGGGACAGUGGAAUAUUUAGUGUAGCGGUGGAAUGCGUAGAUAUUAAAUAGAACACCCGAGGCGAAGGCGACUGUCUGGCUCGUAACUGACACUCAAGUACGAAAGCAUGGGUAGCGAACAGG
rnacentral:rRNA from 1 species